GCGAGGGUGGCGGAAUAGGCAGACGCGCACGUUUGAGGGGCGUGUGGUUAACACCAUGUGGGUUCAAGUCCCAUUCCUCGCACCA
rnacentral:tRNA from 1 species